rnacentral:rRNA from 1 species
AUUGAACGCUGGCGGCAGGCCUAACACAUGCAAGUCGAGCGGAGCGGCGGUCGGGUGAGUAAUGCCUAGGAAUAUGCCUGGUAGUGGUGGAUAAGGGCCGGAAACGGGCGCUAAUACAGAAUACUAUAAAGUGAGCCUAGGUCGGAUUAGCAAGGUGGUGGGGUAAAGGCCUACAAAGGCGACGAUCCGUCACUGGUCUGAGAGGAUGAUCAGCCACACUGGAACUGAGACACGGUCCAGACUCCUACGGGAGGCAGCAGUGGGGAAUAUUGCACAAUGGGCGCAAGCCUGAUGCAGCCAUGCCGCGUGUAUGAAGAAGGCCUUCGGGUUGUAAAGUACUUUCAGCGGGGAGGCGUUACCCGCAGAAGAAGCACCGGCUAACGCCGUGCCAGCAGCCGCGGUAAUAC